AUAUUCACUUGAAAUAACAGUUGCGAGUUAGUUUGGGCGUAGCAGGCAAGGCGUGCACAGGGAUAGUUGGCACCCAGUAUUUGGUAUAUUGAAAACUGCAUGGUAUGGAGAUGAAAGUAUGAGCACUUCAGAUUGUCGUCGCUUCACUUCUGAGGUCCAUGGUACAAGUAGAUCAAAUACAGGAAAUAUUGCCUUUCGCACGUAAUACCUCUGCCCGCCAAAGUUUGGGAAGAAGAGCAUAUGUGGAAGCAGAAACCAACUUUAAUUAUUUAAUGAACUGUAGUAAACAAAAAUGUAAUAUGUAAAAGUAGAGAAAAUAUAUAUAUUGUAAAGUGUUGUGCAGUGUGUCAUUUCUUUUAUAUUUCCUUUGACGAAAUUCGGUCAAUCUGUGACAUAUUGGUGUCAGAAGUGUGAUAACAUGUGAUUAGAUAUCUAUUCUACCCUGUUGGAAAUUGCAAUUUAAAUGUACAAUUAUUUGGUUUUUUAAAGAAAAUUAUUUG